rnacentral:misc_RNA from 1 species
UUUCCGUAGGUGAACCUGCGGAAGGAUCAUUAUUGUAUAGCCGAGGUGCGAGGGCUGUCGCUGACCCGAAAGGUCGUGCACGCCCGAGUGCCCUCACACACAUCCAUCUCACCCCUAUGUGCACCACCGCGUGGGUUCCCCUUUGGCUUGUUCGGAGGGGGGCUUACGUUUUCACACAAACUUUGUAUGCAGUGUAGAAUGUAUUUUUUGUUUUUGCGAUCACGCAAUCAAUACAACUUUCAACAACGGAUCUCUUGGCUCUC